GACGAACGCUGGCGGCGUGCUUAACACAUGCAAGUCGAGCGGUAAGGCCCUUCGGGGUACACGAGCGGCGAACGGGUGAGUAACACGUGGGUGACCUGCCCUUAGCUCUGGGAUAAGCCUGGGAAACUGGGUCUAAUACCGGAUAUGACCUCAUGACGCAUGUUGUGGGGUGGAAAGCCUUGUGCGGCUAGGGAUGGGCCCGCGGCCUAUCAGCUUGUUGGUGGGGUGAUGGCCUACCAAGGCGACGACGGGUAGCCGGCCUGAGAGGGCGACCGGCCACACUGGGACUGAGACACGGCCCAGACUCCUAC
rnacentral:rRNA from 1 species